AAUAUUUCACAAUGUGCGAAAGCCUGAUGCAGCAACGCCGCGUGAGUGAUGAAUGCCUUCGGGACGUAAAGCACUUUGACCAGGGACGAUAAUGACAGUACCUGAAAAACAAGCCACGCCUAACUACAUGCCAGCAGCCGCGGUAAUACGUAGGUGGCGAGCGUUGUCCGGAAUUACUGGGCGUAAAGGAUGCGUAGGUGGAUACUUAAGUGGGAAGUGAAAGCCCCGGACUCAACCCGGGAACUGCAUUCCAAACUGGGUAUCUAGAGUGCAGGAGAGGAAAGCGGAAUUCCUAGUGUAGCGGUGAAAUGCGUAGAUAUUAGAAGGAACACCAGUGGCGAAGGCGGCUUUCUGGACUGUAACUGACACUGAGGCAUGAAAGCGUGGGUAGCAAACA
rnacentral:rRNA from 1 species